AACGUAGGGGGGCGAGCGUUAUCCGGAAUCACUGGGCGUAAAGGGCGUCUAGGCGGUCCAGUAAGUCCUGCGUGAAAGCUCCCGGCUCAACUGGGAGAGCGCGUGGGAGACUGUUGGGCUAGAGACUCGGAGAGGGGUGUGGAAUUCCCGGUGGAGUGGUGAAAUGCGUUGAGAUCGGGAGGAACACCAGCGGCGAAGGCGGCACUCUGGGCUGGAACUGACGCUGAGGAGCGAAAGCGUGGGUAGCAAACAGG
rnacentral:rRNA from 1 species